rnacentral:misc_RNA from 1 species
GGAUGAAUCUCUGAUAGAGUGUUUUAAGGGAGACACAUUUACUUGGACUCACAAAGCAGUUCUCAAAUAAAUCAUAACAGCCAUGACAAACCUGUUCUAGUACUGCCAUAUUUUGAAAAGCUGUUUGGAAUGUGAUGCAUCCCAUGUUGAAUAGGAGUUGUUCUCAACCAGGACAAACCUGUGGCGUGUUUCUAUUAUUUUAUCUAAUCUUUAUU